AAAAAAAAGCAAUAUUAUAGUGUUUGGUAAACUUUUAUGUAAAACAGAUGGGAAAAAAAAAACAGGUUUUUCAAAGCUGGGUUUUGCAGCUUCUUGUUUUUGGCUUUUUUUUUACCAAAAAUUGUGAAAAAAAACUGAAGUUGAAUGUUUACCAAACACAAAAAAGCUCUCAGCUUCUUUUCAUACUAGCUUUUUUUUUAAUCACCUCAAUCCCAAACUGCACCUUACACAUACGAAAUAUCAUAUUUGAGAUUAAAUCACAACUUAGAUUUUCAAAAUCCACAACUCAAAAUUUGACUACUCUGUAGACCACUGCGAUGUUAGUAGAAGUGGGGUCCUACCUACUGCUAUUAACAUGUUAAUUUCUUUUUAAAAUCCUUAAACAUUUUGUUUUUUUUGCUAAGAAAUCUAUUAGGAAGUUGGUCUAACUUAUCAUCAUACUUUUUAAUACCUAAUUCAGUUUCGAGUAAAUAUAAACACGUUAUUUUUCACUUCUCAAGCAUUCUUAUUUAACUUUUUAUGUGAAAAGGUAAACAAACGUGUAAAAAUCAACUGAUCUA
rnacentral:lncRNA from 1 species